UAUCAGGAACAUAGUGAGUUUUGAACACACACAGAGAAAAACACACAGCUGUUCUGUCCUGGUUGGGUUGCUGUGUCCGGUCUCAAUGGGGGGCGGGCCCAUAUGCCACCUGAAUCACCUGAUCUCCCUGAGCCAAUGAGAUUCCCUGAGGAAAGGUAGAGGAGGGGUCAGGACAUAAAUGUUUUACAUCGACGCCCUUGAUAUCACCUGACUCAGAAGGACGAGGAGAGAGAACCGGAGAGAACCAGAGAGAACAAGGACGGAACCACACUGGAUAAUUUGAGAAGGAGCUCAUUGUGACGUGUCUGUGUGUAGGGCCCGGUUGAUGUGGAGCGGUCGGAGGGUGAGGAGUGUGAGGAGAACAUGGAGGUGUUUGAUGACAGCAGCUCCAGCCCUUCUGGGACUCUCAGGAACUACCCACUGACCUGUAAAGUCCUCUACUCAUACAAGGCGUCUCAGCAGAUGAGUUGAGUAUAGAGGAGCAUGAGAUGUUGGAGGUGAUAGAGGAUGGAGACAUGGAGGACUGGGUCAAGGCGAGGAAUAAGAGGGGGCUGAUUGGCUACGUCCCAGAGAAGUAUCUUCAGUCCCCACCUCUAACAGCCUACUGAGCAUGCUCCAGUCUCUCGCUCCUCUGGACGCUCGCUCACACACCUCCUCCCAACUCCACUGAGCCAGAGAUACACACAGGCAGCAUCAACGGAGACGCCAGCUUGAGUUUUGUGAGGGCGCUGUAUGACUACGCGGGCCAGGCGGAUGAGGAGCUGUCCUUUCCAGAGGGGGCUGUCAUCCGUCUGCUCAACAGAGACACUCAAACUGACGAUGGCUUCUGGGAGGGAGAGUUUAAAACGGGCGAGUGGGAGUCUUCCCUUCUGUACUGGUGGAGGACCUGACGGAGAGCGGCAGAGAACGGAGCACACA